AACGAACGCUGGCGGCAGGCCUAACACAUGCAAGUCGAGCGCCCUUUCGGGGGAGCGGCGGACGGGUGAGUAACGCGUGGGAAUAUGCCCUUCUCUACGGAAUAGCCUCGGGAAACUGAGAGUAAUACCGUAUACGCCCUGUGGGGGAAAGAUUUAUCGGGGAAGGAUUAGCCCGCGUUGGAUUAGGUAGUUGGUGGGGUAAUGGCCUACCAAGCCGACGAUCCAUAGCUGGUUUGAGAGGAUGAUCAGCCACACUGGGACUGAGACACGGCCCAGACUCCUACGGGAGGCAGCAGUGGGGAAUCUUAGACAAUGGGGGCAACCCUGAUCUAGCCAUGCCGCGUGAGUGAUGAAGGCCUUAGGGUUGUAAAGCUCUUUCAGCUGGGAAGAUAAUGACGGUACCAGCAGAAGAAGCCCCGGCGAACUCCGU
rnacentral:rRNA from 1 species